CUACGGGGGGCAGCAGUGGGGAAUAUUGCACAAUGGGCGCAAGCCUGAUGCAGCCAUGCCGCGUGUAUGAAGAAGGCCUUCGGGUUGUAAAGUACUUUCAGCGGGGAGGAAGGGAGUAAAGUUAAUACCUUUGCUCAUUGACGUUACCCGCAGAAGAAGCACCGGCUAACUCCGUGCCAGCAGCCGCGGUGAAUACGGAGGGUGCAAGCGUUAAUCGGAAUUACUGGGCGUAAAGCGCACGCAGGCGGUUUGUUAAGUCAGAUGUGGAAUCCCCGGGCUCAACCUGGGAACUGCAUCUGAUACUGGCGAGCUUGAGUCUCGUAGAGGGGGGUAGAAUUCCAGGUGUAGCGGUGAAAUGCGUAGAGAUCUGGAGGAAUACCGGUGGCGAAGGCGGCCCCCUGGACGAAGACUGACGCUCAGGUGCGAAAGCGUGGGGAGCAAACAGGAUUAGAUACCCGCGUAGUC
rnacentral:rRNA from 1 species